CAAGGGCAGGGACUAAGGAUGGUAUACUCUGUGAAGGGCACACAGUGGUGCUCAGUAAAUGGUGAAGUGUGAAACCCUAAGAUCCAUAUCUGGAGGAGAUCUAAUGUAGUUGUUCCAUUUUUCACAUGAGGAAACCAAGGCCCAGACAGGGAAAGUGACUUUCCCAAGGUCCCCCAGCAGGCGGGAUCAGGACUGGAGCCAGGUCUCCUGCCUCCCCCUGCCCUUCCCUCCAUCCCACACAGGUUGGCAGCUCUGAGACAGCUGGAAGUAAACCCUGCAAUUCUACAUCUGCAGAGAUUCUUACAGCAGUGGGCAAGGAUGCGGCCGCCCUCAUUCAGCUGCUGUCACUGAGAGAGCUGGAGCCCGGGCCCGAGACUUCUGGCCAGUCCAGAGGGAGUGUGGCACUGAUCGUCAGCACCCC